rnacentral:rRNA from 1 species
CGGAUAAUAUUUUGAACCGCAUGGUUCAAAAGUGAAAGACGGUCUUGCUGUCACUUAUAGAUGGAUCCGCGCUGCAUUAGCUAGUUGGUAAGGUAACGGCUUACCAAGGCAACGAUGCAUAGCCGACCUGAGAGGGUGAUCGGCCACACUGGAACUGAGACACGGUCCAGACUCCUACGGGAGGCAGCAGUAGGGAAUCUUCCGCAAUGGGCGAAAGCCUGACGGAGCAACGCCGCGUGAGUGAUGAAGGUCUUCGGAUCGUAAAACUCUGUUAUUAGGGAAGAACAUAUGUGUAAG